UCCAUUUUGUUAGGUUAGGUUCAGUUCGGUUCGGUUUAGGGUUCCCUCUGCUCUGUCUGUGAUUUUUCUACCGGAUUACAAUUGUUUACACACACGACUGCACAUUGUGACAGUUUUGCAGAGUAUUUUCUGUUUUAUUUUGUGCUGUUGCCACGGCGUUUGCAAUUGUUGUACCCCACUUUACACUUGGUCCUCGCAUAUAUCCUUUUAAGCCCACACACACACACACGCAUACAGAUGUAAUUGUGCGUCUUCAUGUGUGCUAUACUGUUGCCUGCCAUCCUCUUCUUUUCUUUUUUUUUUUUUUUUUUUUUCUUUUUGCUUCAAGUAUAAGUUUACAACAAGCGCUUUGCAUGUGCGCCGCUACAAGUGUGUGUGGGAGUGUAUGUGUGUGUGCGUGUGUGGUGUCUGUGUAUAUAGGGGCACAUGUUUUGCAUAUCAGCGCUGUCGGGGUCGGCCAUAGCCAUAGCCAUAGCCAUAGCGUAGUGGGGUGGGGUGGGGAUACCGUUGGCUCAAGACCAUCAUUUCGAAUAGAUACAAAAAGCGCAGCAACAAGUCAGCAAAAUUACGACGGGAGGUGUGCUCGGGUUUACGUGUCUGGAAUGCUUGACGGACUACGAAAUACAACUGAGAAAUAAAAU